rnacentral:lncRNA from 1 species
GGUGCACCAUUAAAUUAUGGAAACCACUAUAAUGAAACUUCAGAUAUAUUUUGGGUAGUUUCAUUUUAUUUUUCACAAAAGGAAAUUUUAGGCUAAAGAGAAAGUCUUCUUUUGGUUUGUUAAGACGUGAUGUUUGACAGUUCAAGAGUUAAGUCUGGGCUUUCCAUGUUGUCAGAUAGUUUCAGAUCUCUUCUUUGACUCCAGCCAUUCCCCUCAUGUGGCCUUUGCAGGUGGCCGUCCUCAAGGGGGUUUCCUCUCAGUGAUGCAGCUGUGAGCUAAGUCCCACCAGGAGAACACGUUUCGAGAGCCACGAGGAGAGAAUCCUUUUGGGACUUCCAGAAAUUUGGGUCAUAGAGAGUACCGAGAAAUCUUCAGAUAGGUAAAGACAUUUUUCAGUAAAUGACUCCAGGACUGGAUGCCCAGUUGAAGAUAUCUCUGUGAUGUCAUGUCAGGAAAUAAACAACUCAGGUUCAGCUGUGUUGUUUAUAUAUUGGAUUCCUGGAGCUUACCUCAUGCCAACUAUUAGGACUUUGUCGUUACUUCAGAUCCCUCUCCAGUUAUUUUUGAACCUUGUCUCUUGCCUUGCCUGGGAGUGAAGGGCUCACCUGUGCCCCAUUUACCCCAUCCAUUUAUUUAACCAAUAUUUAUUUGCAUCUAUAAUAGAUUUAUUUGCAUCUAUAAUUGCCCUGGGACCAUGGCAGAGAUGAAAUGACAGUUUCUGCUCUCCCAAAUUCCCAGGAGAGACACGCAGGCAAUUCCGAGACCAGGAUAAUGGAGAUUUUGCCAAUGGAAGCAGAAAGAAAAGGAGGCCUUAGGCUUGUAUAGGGGGUACCCAGGGACGACUUCCCCAAAGAAAGCAGUUGUUAGCCCAAACUGAAAGUAAGUAGGAAUUUUCCAAGUGAGGGAAGGGUUGGAUGGUAGGAAAUUCCAGCCAAGGACAAACAGGCUGGCUUAACCAGGGAAGAGCAGUAAGCUGUUGGGCAUGGCUGUGGCUCAGUGCACAAGGGAAGAAUGGUAGAAGACUAAGCAGGAUGAGCACGCGGAAGCUUCUUUAUGCUCCAGUCAGAAUACGCAGCCCUCAGCUGACCUACCGCAUCAUCCCCUCCAGUUCCAUCCACGUCGAUGCAAAUGGUGGGUGUUCAUCCUUUCUGAUGGCAGCCAUUCUUUUGGACAUGAGUACUGCAAGCCUUGGUCUGCUUCAAGAUCUUCAGAGGACAGCUGUUCCCUGGAAGGCUCUCCCACAGGCCCGUGUCGUGAUCACACAUGCAGUUCCACAAUUCAGCCAGCAGGGAGAGGUCACCGGCUCCGUAGGCUCCAGGCCCAGCUUGGAGCCCAACGUGGGACUCAAGACCCUGAGAUCCAGACCUGAGCUGAGAUCAAGAGUCAGAUGCUUUACCGAUUGAGUCACCCAGGCACCCCUCUGCUGCUUUUAAAUACUUGUUUUAGAGUAAAGGAAUCCCAGAAUCUGGCUUGGGAGAGAUGUUACACGUCAUUUAGUCCAAACUCCCCAUUGAUGCCUGCAAAAGUCCUGUCAUGGGAUAUUUUCCCCCAUCUGUGUUUGUGCUUCUCUAGCGGUAUGAAACUCCUAAGGCAAUGUUUCCGUCACUGGGCUACUUUGAAAAUGAUAAAGUAUUUCCUUACACUAAGUUGCCAUCAGUCUCCCUGUCAGCCUCUGUAGCACGCAGAACAGAGCCGCCGUACGUGGGAGGGCGGUGCUCAUAUUCCCAUUUGGACUUGUCUACGAGAUCACUUGUUUACUGGAUUUUUCUCAGAUGAUAUAGUUUGAGGUCAGGUUUCCAUCCUGUUUCAUUUCUUCUGCACACGUUUGGGUUGACCUCUAUCCCUUAUAAUGAGGGAGAUCUAGGGCCUGAGACUGUGUCCUUGCUGGGAUCAGACCACGUGUCUGCCACCUUGUUGCUGCUGACUCAUGCUGAGAUUACCCCCACUCAUAUCCAGCCGUCUCUUUCCCCACAUUCCCGCCAUAAAACAUAUCCUCUUCGUCCUACACUAGUUCAGUUUUUAACUGACUUGCCAGAAUUUAUCUGGAUUCGGUUUCUUUCCAUGGCCCAACAUUAUCAGGGUAUUUUGAAUUCUAGUUCCAACACAAACAAGCCCUACUUGAAAGAAAACCAUCUUGUUUCACAAAUUUUAUUCCUUUUGCAUGAUGUCACUUAUUUUCAUCAUACAAAUAAUGUUUUGUAGCACAGAUGGAAAAUUGAGUAUGCAUUGUUUUUAAAGUUGUGUGAAAUGUUGGACAAUCUCCACUUACUUCAGUGAGUGGACUGCACGUAGGGAUCUAAGAGACGCUGUUUUCUGGCAGUUCCACCUGCAGGACUUUGGUACCUUGCCCGCAGCAAAAUGGUGAGUGGAGAAGAACUUGUGAUCUCAAAAGACAUGUGAAUUUCUUACAAGCGUUGCCAAUGUCCCACUCCGCUAUGUGGUUUCUCUAACUUUUCGACUAUUUGGAACAAAGGUGGAAAUGCAGUAUUGUCAAUCAGUGACACAAAAUGGUAAAGUUCAUCUAGUAGCUGAAUUGUCACUUUAUAUCAAGAGCAAAAUCCUUAAAAGGUAAUCCGAGAGUAGAUAACAAACCUUACCUAUAACAGAGGUUUAACCAUUGACAGAUGAAGCCGUUAUGAAGGCCACAGGGCAGGCAAGUGGUCAUGAACGUAGGUCCAAUUGAUUUUUCCAAAAUCUGUAAUAAAAAUUUGUAGUAACUUUAUUUUUUACUCUUGAAGGGACUGUAUCACAGAAAAAAAAACUCAUAUAAGGAGAUAUUUUUCUUUUCUGCAUGCUUUAUUAUUGUCAGCAACAUUUUAGAUAGACAAAUCUAAAAUAAAAGUGCAAAAAAUGGCACGAGGUUUCCAUUUUGUUAUGUAGACAUUGGUUCCAAUACUUUUUGAAAAUAUCAUAAAAUUGGAAAAUAUCUCAGGAGAAAAAUUCUCCUGAGAGAAAAAUCUCUGAGGAGAAAAAAUUAAAAGGAAAUUUGGUGGUGACUGUACUUUGAGUUAAGAUAAAGAUAAAAAUUACAGGUUGAAAGGACUAACAACCUAUAGUAACUUACAAAGUGAAGUAUUCUUGGUAAAAGUCACAAAAUUAAAACUGUUGAGCUCAUUGCUUUGUAAGGUCUUGUUUCUAUCACAAAAACUAUGUUUUUUGAGUUUUGUUGGGAUACAGAAAAGCAGUUGAUGUCUUUAAUAACUGAUAACUUUUAUAAGUUCCUAUUGCAAUUUUCCAGUUAGUUCUAUGGAGUUUUGUAGGCAGGCAAUUUACUGGUAAUCAAAAUUGGAUUUCUUCUUUAAUCAUAGUUCGUAAUCUCUUAUCCACAAUUCAUUUUGAAAAUGGCAAGUUUGUAAGUUUGAAACUAAAGCCUGACUGGCAGGGAUGUAAGGCAGCCUGUAGUUUCUAUUUUAUGUUAAUAUUCAUACAUUUUAAUAUAAAAAUAUUUUGAUUAUAGAAAUCUGCAUCUGCUUCUGUUAUUACCUGGUACAUAGUAAAUUAACUUUUCUAAAAUAUGAAAACUUCUAAAUUCUGGCACAACCCAACCCAGAGUCAAAAAGAAAUGUGGACUAUAUCUCUUUUUCUUUUACUUUUCUUAUUGAGUUGGCUGGCAUUUUCAGUGUUGGGUAAGGGAUAACUUGUAUUUUUUUAAUUGUUUUUGAUCUUAAUGAAAAUGUAAUGAUCUACUUUCUUACAACUGAGUAUGAUAAUGGCUAAAAUCAAGAUAGAUUUUCCUUAUCAUAACAGGAAAAAUACCUUCCUUAAGUUAGUUUGCUAAAAGAGGUGGACUUUUUCCUUCAAAUGUAUAUUUUGUAUUUACUGAGAUGAUUAUAUUAAGACUAACAUAUGCUUUUUGCUAGUCCACUGGUCCAAAGAAGAUAAGGGACAUGACAGUGAGCUCUAGCUGAGGCUAGCCCAGGUCAGCCAACUUUCAGCCAUCCCACUGACAUAAAAACAAGCUUAUUACUGCACGCUGCUGAAAUUUUAUAAUGGUCUAUUAUUCAGCAUUAUUGUAGGAAUGGUUGGCUGAUGCAAAUAUAUUAUUGACUAAUUAUAGUGAUUGAAUUUCUGGGAUGAAACUAUUUUACAUUCUUGAAAUAAACCUGAAAUUCCUGAAAUAAUAAAUGUUUAUUAUUAUUUUAACCUAAGUCUGAAUUCUAUCUGUUUAAUUGUUCAUUUAGAACCUGUGUCUGCUUUCAUUUGCUAUAUUGGUCAUUUUAUCUCCCUUGAAGUUAUCAUAAAAUGUGUUGGGAUAUCCCCCCAUCCUUAACCCCCAAUAAACAACAGUGCGUUCCAAAUGCUGAUCCAUAGAAAAGGUCUCAGAAGUCCCUGGUAUGAGAUAAAUAAGGAAAAUAUAAUGUGUUUAAAAACCUAAUUUGAUUUAAUUUAAAGGAUAGUCCUUAAUCCUGAGAUUAUGUAUUUCUUACGUUCUCAGAGUUAGAGGGUUUUUUUUUAAUUGAAGUGUAGUUGACAUACAAUAUUAUAUUAUCAAUGAUAGAAUUUAUUCUCUUGCAAAAGGACUGUGAUGACAAGUGCUAAUAAAAAAGAAUGUUUUUGCUACGAAAAAUAGAAAGCUGGUAAUUCCAUGUUGGUCUCUCCAAAUUUUCCUUUAGCUUUCAUGGUUUGUGAAAUCCAAAAGUUUGAAAAUCAUCUCUAGAACAAUUUGCACAGCGUGUGGUAACUAUGAACUUGUUUGUGUCUUGGGAAUUGGAUUAUUCUGAAGCAAUGUUUAACAGUGUUUGAGGACAAGGGCUUUGAGCCAUAUGACUUCCAGCUGUUACUCAUCUAUCCCAAGAAUAAUUUGCCUCAGUUGUAGAAUAUGGC